rnacentral:rRNA from 1 species
GACGAACGCUGGCGGCGUGCUUAACACAUGCAAGUCGAACGGAAAGGCCCUGCUUUUGUGGGGUGCUCGAGUGGCGAACGGGUGAGUAACACGUGAGUAACCUGCCCUUGACUUUGGGAUAACUUCAGGAAACUGGGGCUAAUACCGGAUAGGAGCUCCUGCUGCAUGGUGGGGGUUGGAAAGUUUCGGCGGUUGGGGAUGGACUCGCGGCUUAUCAGCUUGUUGGUGGGGUAGUGGCUUACCAAGGCUUUGACGGGUAGCCGGCCUGAGAGGGUGACCGGCCACAUUGGGACUGAGAUACGGCCCAGACUCCUACGGGAGGCAGCAGUGGGGAAUAUGGCACAAUGGGCGGAAGCCUGAUGCAGCAACGCCGCGUGCGGGAGGACGGCCUUCGGGUUGAAACCGCUUUCGCCUGUGACGAAGCGUGAGUGACGGUAAUGGGUAAAGAAGCACCGGCUAACUACGUG